rnacentral:rRNA from 1 species
UACAGAGGUCUCAAGCGUUGUUCGGAUUCAUUGGGCGUAAAGGGUGCGUAGGUGGCGCGCUAAGUCAGGUGUGAAAUUUCGGAGCUUAACUCCGAAACUGCAUUCGAUACUGCCGUGCUUGAGGACUGGAGAGGAGACUGGAAUUUACGGUGUAGCGGUGAAAUGCGUAGAUAUCGUAAGGAAGACCAGUGGCGAAGGCGGGUCUCUGGACAGUUCCUGACGCUGAGGAACGAAGGUCAGGGGAGCAAACGGG